rfam:Ipomoea nil DNA, scaffold: scaffold2280, cultivar: Tokyo-kokei standard.
GCACUUGUAGCUCAAUGGAUAAAGUGUAUGUUUCCUAAGCAAAAAGUCGUAGGUUCCACCCCUACUUGGUGCG